AUAAAGAAACUUAACCACAGCGUUUUUCAAUGCAGUUCUAAAUUACUGACUAUUCCGUUGACGCUAAAGUAUAAAUCCAACAGAAUGUUGAGUCUUUAUAUAUUUUUUUCAGUUUGUCUAAGUACAACAUACACCGUAAAAGCAGAUUAUGGUGCAUUUAACAAUGGUAACUAUCAACCGUCCUGGGCGCCACCAAAACCAUAUUAUCCACCACAAAAUAAUGGAUUUAAUUACAACUC